UCAAAUACUUGAGUAUUCUAAGAUAGCUUUUGUCUGCUUGAUGCUUGGUUCCCAGCAGGAAGUCCUAGGCACCUGGUGGUUUUGGGAAGCCGUAGGCACCUGAUGUUUUCUAAGAUAGUUUUAGUCUGCUUGAUCCACACAUUCCACACUUUCCAGCUUGUGACUAUUACAAAAAGGGGCUGGUCAGGAUGAGCAAGACAAAAGGACGGCCUCAGUUGCUUAACCUGAACCUGCUCUGAGCUUUGCAUUAACUCAAAUGUAGACCACAAGACUGUGUAGACUCUGGGAUCCAAGACUUUAAUGAUGGAAAAGAGGAAGCCAAGAAACCAAGAACAAAAUCACAUACCAAUGGAAUUGAGGCCACCCUGGAAGGUUGGCUAUUAGGUCUGCUAAAACAUAUUUAUUAAAACAUAUGGUGUGA